rnacentral:lncRNA from 1 species
ACUUUUUUCUGUUUUAAUCACGUUUUCCUAUAUAUGAUAUAAUGUGUGUGUGUAACAUUUAUACAUUUUUUUUAUUUAUUUUUUUUAAAGAAAAUUGCUGAAAGGAGGGCACAUCUAUGUCAAAUUGUUGAGGCUUUGCAAUACAGUUUCAGUACCCUGAUGGCACCAGGAAAACAAGGAAAUUUGUUGAGUCUCAACCAAUUCAGGAUCUGUUUGCCUUUGCUGGUUCAGACGACAUGGCCAGUGAAGUAUUCCGUGUACAGCUGUCCUGGUCACCGAACACUUUACUUAGUACUGUUGAUGGUAGCCUCUCAGAUCAUGAAAUUAGUAGGCCCUCAACCUUAUAUGUGCUUUGGAUGUCAGGUGUUCAAAUAGAGGAAUUAAUUGCAUCCAGUGUUGAAUCUUCAACUGACCAACUGGCUGCUACUCAGGACUUAGGAAGCAUCCCAAGUCCCCUCCAUUCCAGUGAUCAGGAUGUUGGCUUCUCCCCCUGCCCUGUUCCAGCUUUCUCACCACCAAUUGACAAUUCUUCACCCUCGUCACCGCCAUGGUCUUUCAUUUCUCUUUUCCCUUUACUAUUGCCACAUCUCCUAGUGGUCUUCAAACCUGGUCCUGGGAACCUGCCGCUCUGUACAUUUUGUCUGUAUUUUUUAUUUUACAUAUUUGAUUCAAAUCAGCUUGUUAAGUGGAAGCUGCAUUAACUGAACCAACUGGUCAGAUAAGAGAUAAAUACAACAUUUCCAGAGCUGUGGGAUUGAAACCGAUUGUUCUUGUUUGUAAAAUGUAAGAUUACACACAGAUUUACUAACAGCUUGCUCCAGCGCAAACCAUCUUUUGGGGUCACAAAAGUACUGUCAGGAUUUACCAAAGACACGCAGUGAAAAAAUAAUCAAUUUAUUGGUAUUUGUGCCAUUAUUUACAGGCCAAAAAAACGUGACUCAUUUUGCAGCUGUUUUGUCACACAUACAUGAUUAUCAGUGGCUUUGAUGUGGUGUGUUCAAUAGAUCAUCGCUUUCCACUACCAAUGGCACUUUUAUGGAUUUGUGCUCUCACGCUAAUUUGCCCUGUUUAGUAAAUCUGGCCCUAAGUUUAAUACAGUUUGUUGUGUGGAAUUGUGUCUUGACUAAGUUAUGCAAUUAAAUGCAAUUAAUGUAGUUAUACUAAGUUAUGCAUUUUUUUUUUUACUUUACAGUGAAGUUUAUGCAUUAGAUUCUGAAGAUGAGGAGGAUGUGGUGAUGUUGACCUCACCUGUUUAUUCUGACAAUGAAAUUGAUGUAAUUAUGCAACCAUACCUUUAAAAGUCAUAAUAAUUUCUAUUAAUUUAUAAUAAUAAUAAUAUUUUUUUUUUUGUUAUUUUAAUGACUUAGGAUGACGUUUCUGCUGCUGACAUCAUCAGAACAUUUCAGAGGGAAAAUCUAAAUUUGGAAGAAAGGGUGAUUGUAGUGGCCAGAAGGAGGAAAAUUCUUCAUAGUGCAUGUACUGCACUGAAAACUAGCUACUUUGCAUGGCACAAAUCCCCACAAAUUGAAUUUGUAGGUGAAAGUGCUGAUGACUAUGGGGGACCUAGCAGAGAAUUUUUCAGGUUGGUCUUAACUAUUUAUCAUGUGUAUGUAAUAAUAUAUUUAUCAAAUAUUAUGUGAUGUCUUUUUUUGGUGCAUCACACCAUAGCAUAGAAACUGGUGCCAUCCUGUGUCUCAAGUAUCAAUUGAAUAUGGUUUAAAAUAUGACCUCAUAGUACUGCAAUAUCAAUAUUAAAGUAAUAUUGUGGCAGUGUUCCUCUUGUUGCUUGGCCAACAGUUUUGUACCCUGUAAUGGACUGUUUUCUUUUUCUUAGCAUAAGCUUUGUGAUAAUGUGUGUGUGUGUGUGUGUGUGUGUGUGUGUGUGUGUGUGUGUGUGUGUGUUUGUUAGAAAUUUAACUUAAAUCAGUACUACAUGACCACAAUUAUUUGGUGUAGCCGUGUAUGAAAUUUAAAAAACAUAUUAUAGUUAGCUGGCCACUAUUAUCCAAAUAAAACGUGACAGUCAUAUAUUUUUUUUAUUUUGCUCUGAUAAUUUGCUUUACAAUUAUUAUUAAUAAGCACAAAAUGUAGGCUUUCAUUUCCAUAUCAAUUCAAUUAUUUAAUUGUAUUUGGGCUCUUUAUUUAUCUAGGCUUCUGAUGCAGGGUGUGCAGUCAUCAUUCGGAGUUUUUGAGGGGAAAACAGGCCAGAUGUUUUUCACGUAUGACCAAGUGGCUGUGGAAAAAAAGCGUUAUUACACAGCAGGAAAGCUCAUUUCUUGGUCUCUAAUGCACGGUGGACCUAGUUUCAAUGCACUAAAUACCACAUUGUACAAAUUAAUGUGUGGCAAGGCAGAUUCUGCCGAAGAAUUUGAUUGGCAGGACCUGCCAGAUGGGGAAAUUCAGGAUAAAGUGCGGCAGGUAUGCAUCUUCACACCGUUCAAACAGAAGGCAUUUAUGAUUUGUGAGAGUAAUGGAGUUUCUUUCUUUUAAGGUUUUUUUUUUGUCAGACCCAAGAAGACAAAGACCGAAUAGUGUCAAGCCUGGGAGACUGGAUUGCUGACUGUGGUGUGCCUGGAAUUUUCAGUGCAGCACCUAAUAUGAGACGGAUCUAUGGUCAGCUAAUCAAACACCACAUUUACUUCAGGUAUAAAACUCAAAAUAAUUUACAUUUUAAUCAGUCUACAGUUCUUUGAAUCAUGUUUUUUUUAAUGGCCUUCACUAAUAUUGGCAAAUAUGAGUAAAAUCCAGCUAUUUCAGAUCCCGGCUUGUGUUACUUCAUCUACUUCCAAAUGGUUUGGAAUGAAAGACAAAAAGGAUAAAUAGCUAAGACAAUUUUACAUGCUCAAAUUUACAACGGUAGACAAUUAUUGUGGAGGACACUUAAUUCAUAAAAAUGUUUUUUUUU